UCUGUCUGCUGGGCUUAUUGUUAGUACAGAAGCAAGAUUUUGAGAACGAAUUCAGUCAGUCACAAGACAGAAACAGUGCAUCGAAUAUAGUUUUGUUAUACUGAAAGUUUCUGCGCAAAGGACCAUUCUGAAUUUCGAGAAUUUGCACAUAAACGCUCGACACACCAACUUUCUAAAUGCUGUGUUGUCUUAGAAAUGCAACGUAUGUUUGGUAUGUUCAAGCUCCUCACUUAUCACACUAAAAGUGGUUUUACCCCCCUCUCAACCCGUAGAAAGUGUUCAGGAUGAAUGAGCCUAAUGAAGAUCAACGUAAAUCUACCGCAAUUUAUCUCAUAAAUACAUGGAAAAAAGUAAAGUAUAGAUAAAGUAAUUGAAGAAAGGUCCAGUUGAGGUAAAAUCGUUGGGAAAAAAGUUUCAUUGCUGAGGAAACUAAACUAGAACCAAGGUUAAAGUCAGAGGACCUUUUGAGAAUCAACCAACCACGAUUUUCUUGCUCUACGUUAUUUCCUCUUGAAGGCUUUUAUAUUUCUUUCUAUUCUCUUGAAUUUUACAUCUCUCUUUGUUUUGUUUCCUUUCUUAUUCUCACCUUUUCUUUCUCUUUAUUUCCUUGUACCUUAUCUUCCAGUCCGGAGAUCUUUCUCUCUCUCUCUCUCAACCCUGCGGAUAUUGUCUGGAAAUGAAUGAAACUUUCUCAUAAUUUAUCACCUAUCUCCAAAACCCUAACCACAAUUCCAAUCUGCAAGUCAAUCUAUCAAGACCUUGAAAAUUAUUUAAAAUGUAGAUUGAAAACAGUGUCAAGUUAUAUAAAAAUCAUUUUUUUACUACAAAUUUUUCGCGCCUUUCUUAUUGUAAAAUAGUCGAUUAAAUAAAUUAAUAAAUUCUAAAAUCAGAA